UGACGUCCCUGAGGAACCGAGACCACUCACUUGCUGAGCGAUUCUUAUUAGGAAACCAUGGGCUCAGACUUUAAAGUCAAAGAGGGGCAGGAGGGAGCGCAGCGGUUGAUUACUUGCUGAUCUGGCCGACGACUUAGGGAUGAGGAGCACAGCUCAUUGUAGAGCGCUUGCCUGGGAUAACCAAGGAUCUUGGCUCAAUUUCCACAGAAGAAAUAGCUUCCCAGGCUGUGACACUACGGACACCAUCCUGGAAUUUGUUUACUUGUUUUUAUAUUCUAUAGCCAAGUGUCUGAAAUCCCAGCAUUCCGCCGGCUGAGACCCUGAGAGUCACCCGCAAGCCUGAGCUUCCUGAAUGGAGUUCCAGACUUGAGGCAAAUUAGAGUGACAAGGGCUAGAGGGAUGCUGGUUGGUUAAAACUCACCCGAUCCUGUGGAGGACCUGACUUCGGAUGCCAGCACCCACACUGCACGUCUCACAGCCACCUGUAACCCCAAUUUCAGGCGAUCUGACCUCAUCAUCUGGAACCUACAGUCGCACACACAACUCCCACACAGAGACAUAGAGCAGACACAUAGCUACAAAUAAAAUAAAUCUUUAAAAAGAUUAGAGUGGGGGCUAGAGAGAAGGCUCAGUGGUUAAGAGCACCGACUGCUCUUCCAGAGGUCCUGAGUUCAAAUCCCAGCAACCACAUGGUGGUUCACAACCAUCUGUAAUGAGAUCUGAUGCCCUCUUCUGGUGUGUCUGAAGAUAGCUACAGUGUACUUAUAUAAUAAAUAAAUAAAUCUUGGGGCUGGAGAGAUGGCUCAGAGGUUAAGAGCACUGUCUGCUCUUCCAGAGGUCCUGAGUUCAAUUCCCAGCAACCACAUGGUGGCUCACAACCAUCUAUAAUCAGGUCUGGUGCCCUCUUCUGGCCUGCAGGCGUAUAUGCAGGCAGAAAGCAGUAUGAUGUAUACAUAAUAAAUAAAUGUUUAAAAUAAAUAAAUAAAUAAAUAAAUCUUUAAAAAAAAGAUUAGAAUGAUAAUAACCUAUUGGGGCAGCAGUAUGUGUUUAGCACGAUACAAUAUUUAUGGCAGAAUUAGGUAAAUAUUAAACACUGAUCUGGAAUUAGUCAGGUAUGAAGCCUGGUUCCUUCAUUUGCUACCCCGUAAAAUUUUUUUUUUUUUUGGUUCUUUUUUUUCCGGAGCUGGGGACCGAACCCAGGGCCUUGCGCUUCCUAGGUAAGCGCUCUACCACUGAGCUAAAUCCCCAGCCCCCCUGUAAAAUUUUUGAUUUGGGUAGAUUGAUUUGUUUGUCUGUUUAUUUGUUUUGGUCGUUUCAAGGUAUGCUUUUUUUGUAUAGCCUCGGCUGUCCUGGAACUCGUUCUGUAGACCAGGCUGGCCCCAAACUCAAAGACCUGCCUGCCUCUGUCUCCUGAGUGCUGGGACUGCGGGUAUGCUGGAUCGCCACCAUCGGGUGAGUUGUGCGUUUGUUUGUUUGCUUGUUUGUUUUUAAGACAGGCUUUCAUAUAGCCUGGGCUAAACUCGCUCUGGGUGCGCCUCCCUCGGUGUCUCUGCUCACACAGGACCUCCUAAGAUAAUCAAUCACAUGAGAUGACUAACACAAACCGAUUUGAAUGAGAUUAUAUAAACCUAAGCAAAAUUUGUCUCGUAUUAUCUUUGCCUAAGAACUGUAUUAGCACAAUGAUGUUCUGUUCUUUAGGAAGGGGUGAGAAGGGAGCCAUUGCUGCUUUUAAGCAGUUUUCAGGAAGUGGGGUGACCACACUGCCGCGUGACUUGGGGUCAGCUCGUGGACAUCUCUUCUUCCCAACAACUGUGCGCUGCUUGUACGACCUGGGGAGGGACCUGUGAGUCCUGGAACUGUCGCACUUUCCAGGGCCACAAGCUUGCUGGGAAGAGAACUGUCAACUCAGAUGACACAGCUCCCUGCCAAAGGAUCUUUUAAAGGACAGGACAACCCUGGGUGAUGGCCCAAGCUUGUGAUCUUAGCACUCAGGAGACGGAGACAGGAGGAUCAAAAUUGAAGGUAGAGAGUAUUAGUUUGUGGAGGUGUUUGCUGUCUCUAUAAACUCACUCCCUUUCUAGAUAUAUAUUAAAUAUAAGCAUUAAACACCAAGAUAAUAAGGGCCUUGCCUUCCAAGAACUCAAAAUUGAAUUCUGUUUAACCAUCAAGGAAAUAGAAAUUGAAAGUGGUCUUCACCUAUAUAGCAAACUUAAAGACCCUGCACAAACAAGACCCUGUCCCGUGUGUGUGUGUGUGUGUGUGUGUGUGUGUGUGUGUGUGUGUGUGAUGUAUGUGAGUAGAUGUCUGUGUGUUUAUGGUGUGUCUGUGGUCUGUAUGUAUGUGGUGUGUUUGUCUGUGUAUAUCUGCUGUGCUUAUGUAUGUCUCUGUGUAUGUGGUGUGUCUGAGUCUAUGUGUUUGAGGUGUUUGUGUAUAUGUUUGUGGGGUGGUAUGUUUGUGUAUGUGUAGUUUGUGUGUGUGGUGUGUAUAUGUGUUUGUGGUGUGUGUGUGUGUGAUAUGCAUGUGGGUGUAUGUCUGUGUGUUUGUGGUAUGUGUGUGUGUGUGUGAUAUGUAUUUGAGUGUAUGUCUGUGUGUUUGAGGUGUUUGUGCAUAUGUUUGUAGGGUGGUAUGUUUGUGUAUGUGUAGUUUGUGUGUAUGGUGUGUGUGUAUGUGUGUGGUGUGUAUGUAUGUGUCUGUAUCUGUGUGGUGUGUCUGUGUGUUUGAGGUGUGUGUAUAUGUUUGUGUAUCUGUGGUAUGUUCGUGUGUAUAUUUAUGUAUGUGUGAUAUGUGUCUAUGUAUAUAUACAAGCUGUUUUGUGGUUGUUAUACUACAGACAUGAUCUCAGCAAAUGAGAACAGUGUAAAUUAAUCGAAAAGUUGCCUUUCAGUUUUUGUUUUGUUUGCUUGUCUGGUUUUUUUUUUUUUUUUUUUAAGACAAGGUCUCAUGGUGUAGCUUUGGCUGUAAUAGAAGUUACUAUAUAGACCAGGUUGGCCUCAAACUCACAGAGAUCCACUUGGCUCUAGAGGCCUUCCACAUGCUGUUAUCAAAGGCAUGGGCCUUCAUAUCCAACUAACUUUAUCAUUUCUCAUCCCAAAAUUGUCAAUUCUUCUGCCAUUCACAUACAAAGUUAUAUUUAGACUUUUUCCUAACAAUUUCUGAAAUGUCUUUCAUUUUAAAUGUAUUUAUUUCAUGUUUCAUAGUUUCUUCUAGGAUACAAAUGUUUGUUAGUCAGCAUGGGUUAUUAAAAGGACCAAAAAAAGAACAUUGAAAUUUCAAUUUUAAGAUGGCCAAUGGCUCAGGAGGAAAAGGUAUUUUGUCAUCAAGCCUGACUCCCCGAGUUAGAGCUCCAAACUCUACCCUGUGAAAGCAGAGAACCAACUCCCACAUGCUGUUCUCGGAUCUUCCCAAGUAGACCCACAUGAAUAAAUAAAGUGUAAAUUUAAAUUUUAAA